AAAACGUUUCACAAAGUUUUUUUUAUUAAAAACGUUUUACAAAGUUUUAUUUUAAUUAAAAACGUUUUACAAAGUUUAAUUUUAAAUUUUUACAUACGUAAAAUUUAAAAAGUUUAUCUUUUUAUUAAAAAGGGAGAAAACGUUUAAAAAUAAUAAAAAAAAUUAAUAAAAAGAAAAAGUGCAUAUACGUUUUAGAAAAGUUAGAAUAUUACAAAUAUUUUUAGAAUAUAUUUUCUUAACUGAAACUUCCAUAAUUUUUGCCAAAAUCAGGUUUUCUUAUCCGUAGAAGGCAUUUUCUACACUACGUAAAACCAAGACAAAAAUUCCAUAAGCAGAUUCUACCUCAUGUAGACGUACGUAUGAGUAUUGUCUAGAUUUCGUAUUCUGAGAAUCUUAGAAUACUUCAUAAAAGUUGAAACUGCAUUAUGAGAAAAAAAACUAACUUUACAAUUAGUAGAAUUCACAUUCCAUAUAAUUAGAAGUUUAAUUAAAAGUAGAUUGUUCGUAUUAAAAAAUAUAUGAAUUUGUUUAAUCUUGAAUUCAAUUUUCUACUAACUCAUUUUCUAUAAAAGAUGAAAUCUACUUUUAGUAGAACGUAAAUUAAAAUUUUAAUUUAUCAAAUUUUGCAACAAAAAGAAAAAUAUCAGUUUAUGAAUAUGGAUGUUUUAACAAUUGUCUCUAUUUUUUAUAAUAUUUUGACAAUAAUCUGAAGAAAUAAAUCGAAAUGAUUCUUUUGACUUAAAAAUACAUUUUACGUAUAUUUGCUUUCUUAUAUAUGUUAUAACAAUCUGAAGUAAAGCAAAAAUAUAAAACAUAAAAGAGGUUAAGAAGAUAUCAUAAAAAUGGCUAUCACCAAGAAAAUGCUACUUGCAUUUGUUUUACAAUUUCUUAAACUUUGAUGUAAUUUUUAACAUGAAAAAAUAUAUUUUUAUGAAAAGACACUUCUUUAUAUUUUUGUAACAAUACACCUCGUUAUACAUUUUAACACAAUUAAAAACAAAUGAAAUGGUUAAGUUGAAAACACACAACCUUUCAUCAUUUUAUUAUUAGCUCCAUUAAUGAAAAUUUUAUUUUGGAAAAUGCAUGUCAAAGAUUAGUUAUAGAUUUUAAAAAUCUUUUUGAAUAGUCACAAUUCUUCAAUUUGAAUAGUCACAUUUUUCUAAUUUAAUAAUAUUUAUUUUAAAAAGAUACUUAUAAAAAUAAUUACAACUUUUCACUUUUUAAAAGAUGUUUAUAUAAAUUUUUAGAAAAAAUACAACCUUCCAACAUUGAACUUUUAGAAAAGACACAACUUUUUGACAUAUUUUAGAAAAUACACAACCUUUCAACAGAAGUGAGAUUCACAACUUUUGGAAUUAAUUGGGAUUGCUAUUAUUAGUAGUAACAAUACACCUCUUUAUACAUUUUAACACAAUUAAAAACAAAUGAAAUGGUUAAGUUGAAAACACACAACCUUUCAUCAUUUUAUUAUUAGCUCGAUUAAUGAAAAUUUUAUUUUGGAAAAUGCAUGUCAAAGACUAUUUAUAGAUUUUAAAAAUCUUUUUGAAUAUUCACAACUCUUCAAUUUGAAUAGUCACAUUUUUCCAAUUUAAAGGUAAUUAUUUUGGAAAGAUACUCAUAAGAAUAAUCACAACUUUUCACUUUUUAAAAGAUACUUAUAUAAAUUUUUAGAAAAAACACAACCUUCCAACAUUGAACUUUUAGAAAAGACACAACCUUUUGACAUAUUUUAUAAAAGACACAACCUUUCAACAUAAGUGAGAUUCACAACCUUUGGAAUUAAUUGAGAUUGCUAUUAUUAGUAGUAACAAUACACCUCUUUAUACAUUUUAACACAAUUAAAAACAAAUGAAAUGGUUAAGUUGAAAACACACAACCUUUCAUCAUUUUAUUAUUAGCUCGAUUAAUGAAAAUUUUAUUUUGGAAAAUGCAUGUCAAAGACUAUUUAUAGAUUUUAAAAAUCUUUUUGAAUAGUCACAACUCUUCAAUUUGAAUAGUCACAUUUUUCCAAUUUAAAAGUAAUUAUUUUGAAAAGAUACUUAUAAGAAUAAUCACAACUUUUCAUUUUUUAAAAGAUACUUAUAUAAAUUUUUAGAAAAACACAACCUUCCAACAUUGAACUUUUAGAAAAGACAAAACUUUUUGACAUAUUUUAAAAAAGACGCAACAUUUCAACAUAAGUGAGAUUCACAACCUUUGGAAUUAAUUGGGAUUGCUAUUAUUAGUAGAUUAUAGAAAUUUAUUUUAAAAUUAAGUAUGUCUUUUAUGUUUACCAACUAUUUUUUUCAUGAAAUAUUAAAAUAUUACCCUACCAAUAUUGAAACAUAAUUAGGAAAUGUAAUAUUUUCUUUUGACUAUAAUCUAAAGAAAUAAAUCGAAAUGAUUCUUUUGACUUAAAAAUACCUUUUAAGUAUAUUUGUUUUGUUAUAUAUAUAUAUAUAACAAUCCGAAGUAAAACAAAAAUAUAAAACAUAUAAGAGGUUAAGAAGAUAUCAUAAAAAUGGCUAUCACCAAGAAAAUGCUACUUGCAUUUGUUGUCAGUAUCUUCCUCAUCGUAUCUUCUGUGCACUGCUCUGAUCGCAUUCUUGGUGCUGGAAUCAAUAAAGAGUUAAAACAAUGCUUCCCAAAGCAGCCUUGUGGGAAGACUUGCGAAGAGUACUGUGUAGGACACAUUAACGAUGAAUGGGGUAUAAGGACAUCUUGUGAAUCUGGCGCAUGUUGUUGUAUAAAAGAUGGUGCUGUAUAACCACGAGAUAUUGUAAUUUCAUCAAAUAUAUGUAUCUCCUAGAAUAAUAAUAUCAUUACUUUUCAUAUGGUUUGGAUGUAAUAAAUGGUUUGUGUAUUGUGCUCUCGAUCUUCCUAGCUAAAGAAAAUCAUUAUCUUUUUUCUUUUGAUUGUAAUCUGUUGAGAACAUUGAGUCAAAGCAUAAGAAUGUGAAGGAAUCUUUUAUUCAAUGUUGUAAGGCGGAUUGCCAGGUACAAUUGUAGAAAGAAAAGUUUAAGAUACAAACUCAACGCGCAAAAUAACCUGUAUAAGGUGAUUACAAUUGAGGGAAACGAUACUUGCCGAAGAAGAAUGCUCACAUCACAUGCUCACAUUAAGUAUCAGGAUUUCGUAUUUUAAAAUUAUGCUCUGUUUGGAUAUUGUAAGUUUAUGGGCAUAGUUCGAGUCGAGUCCUCAGUUAUGAUGUAUAGGAAUAUAAAGCUAUCCAAAAACAUAAGUGUUUAGAAAUGUCAUUAAACAAUUUAUUAAAAACAAGAAAAAGUAGAACACAACAGAUAAGCGGAUCAAGUUCUAGUUAGAUUUUAAAACUUUAGAGAGGAUUCAUGUCUCUAAGGGGAGAUUUGAACAAACAUUCAAAUCACGGAUUCGAUAAAUCAAAAUUUUUUUGCUUCCUUUGAUAUAUUUGACUAUAAAACUAUACUUUGUUUUUAUUCAUAUUAUAGAAAUUUAUUUUAAAAUUAAGUAUGUCUUUUAUGUUUACCAACUAUUUUUUCAUGAAAUAUUAAAAUAUUACCCAACCAAUAUUGAAACAUAAUUAGGAAAUUAAAUAUUUUCUUUUGACUAUAAUCUGAAGAAAUAAAUCGAAAUGAUUCUUUUGACUUAAAAAUACCUUUUACGUAUAUUUGUUUUGUUAUAUAUAUAUAACAAUCCGAAGUAAAACAAAAAUAUAAAACAUAUAAGAGGUUAAGAAGAUAUCAUAAAAAUGGCUAUCACCAAGAACAUGCUACUUGCAUUUGUUGUCAGUAUCUUCCUCAUCGUAUCUUCUGUGCACUGCUCUGAUCGCAUUCUUGGUGCUGGAAUCAAUAAAGAGUUAAAACAAUGCUUCCCAAAGCAGCCUUGUGGGAAGACUUGCGAAGAGUACUGUGUAGGACACAUUAACGAUGAAUGGGGUAUAAGGACAUCUUGUGAAUCUGGCGCAUGUUGUUGUAUAAAAGAUGGUGCUGUAUAACCACGAGAUAUUGUAAUUUCAUCAAAUAUAUGUAUCUCCUAGAAUAAUAAUAUCAUUACUUUUCAUAUGGUUUGGAUGUAAUAAAUGGUUUGUGUAUUGUGCUCUCGAUCUUCUUAGCUAAAGAAAAUCAUUAUCUUUUUU